UAUAAGGGGAAUGGUUCACUUGUGACACAUUAAUCCACAGCAUCAUGAAGCCUGCAAUACUUGUCCUCAUUCUUAGCCUCUCCGUUCUUGUGGCAGCCUACGAAACUGAGACAGAAGCUGUAACAAUGAGCGUGGGGGUUAAUCCAGAGGCUGAUCAUCCACACAGCCUCAGGAAAAGGUUGACUGAUGACCCAAAUAAGAAAAACACCCACAGGGAUCCUACAAAUUCUAGAAUUGCUGUAAGAAUCUCAAGAACGGAAGAAAGUGACGGAGGCUCUAUCUAUCAGUAAAUCAACUCAAAGAACACAAAAUAUAGAAGGUUAAACAGGAAAAAAAGACAAGAUAAAAAAUCAAGUAAGACCGGCAAGGAGGGACGAGAAAUUAUAUAAAUUUAGAAGUUUGUUAUGUAAACAAGAAAGUAGUAUAUAGUAUUUAAUUUUCUGUUUCUGGGAAGUCAUAUCAAUCCGUCUCCAACCAUCUACUAAGAGUAACAGAUGAACAAAAGGUAAUUAAGUCGUAAAAACAGACUUGUAAAUGUGCCAAGAAUGUAACUACAUUAUAUAUGAAUAUGCUAAGAAGUAGAUGUGAUGAGAAUAAAAUGAUAAAAGUUGA